GACGAACCGAGCGAACGUUGUUCGGAAUCACUGGGCUUAAAGGGCGCGUAGGCGGAUUCUCAAGUCCGGGGUGAAAUCCCACAGCUCAACUGUGGAACUGCCUCGGAUACUGGGGGUCUCGAGGGUGGCAGGGGUAUGGCGGAACUAUCGGUGGAGCGGUGAAAUGCGUAGAUAUCUGGAGGAACACCGGUGGCGAAGGCGGCAUCCUGGACCGGCAUUGACGCUGAGACGCGAAAAGCGUGGGGAGCAAACAGG
rnacentral:rRNA from 1 species